rnacentral:rRNA from 1 species
CCUACGGGGGGCAGCAGUGAGGAAUAUUGGUCAAUGGGCGCGAGCCUGAACCAGCCAAGUCGCGUGAGGGAAGACGGUCCUAUGGAUUGUAAACCUCUUUUGUCGGGGAGCAAAAGACGCCACGCGUGGCGUUCCGAGAGUACCCGAAGAAAAAGCAUCGGCUAACUCCGUGCCAGCAGCCGCGGUAAUACGGAGGAUGCGAGCGUUAUCCGGAUUUAUUGGGUUUAAAGGGUGCGUAGGCGGAAUGCCAAGUCAGCGGUAAAAUCGCGGGGCUCAACCUCGCUCCGCCGUUGAAACUGGCGUUC